rnacentral:lncRNA from 1 species
GGAAAGGGCUGGGGGGAGCAGCAGAGACAAUGGACCCCAAUAGGUUUUUGGCUAUGGUGUGACCUCACCCACCUUAUGCACUGUAUCUGGUACUGUGUAAUUUCUGCCUCUUCCCUGAAGUCAAAAUGGCCAUGAAAAGUUAAUAUUUUGAAUAGAUUCAUGAGAUUGAAGAAGCCACAAUAGCACAGUUGAAGACAGGAAACGAUGCCCGGAAUGGCUUCAGAAAGUGAUAAGAAGGAUGGGAUAAGUGUGUUUGAAGAGAGGGGGAAUACUCUUAGGGGGAUGAGUGGGAAUAGGUCUUUAUUGUAAUAAAUUUUAAUUUCUUAAAAAUUUUGAUCCAUUAAGUCCCACAGGCUGAGUUCUACAUCAGCUGGUCUCAACAAAACCCAUUCAGCGUUAACAUUCGGCACUUUUAAGUCACCUUCAAUGAAGUUAACAUUUCUUUGUGUCUCUGCUUCUGUCUACUCCGUCUUCUCAGUAGUAGUGCUGCCUGAGUGCCCAUCAUGUCUCAGCUGGAAGAUGGUGGCCUCCUCAGCUCCUCCACCAGAACCUACCUGCCCUGCUCCAAAGUUCUACCCAUGUUAUGCAAUGUUGCUUUCCAAAAUGCUGAGAUCUGCAGACACAAAAGAUAUGAUACCCUGUCGGAUCUGUGAAUUUGGAGGAGCGGCCAAAACUCUUUAGAGAACCAGUGGAACAAGCUCAAAGUGCACCCAUAAGCACAGACCACUUUCUAAAAUGUACCUAGAGCUAUUUGGACACAGAGUAAGCACAUAAUAACCUUAGUAACUAUUAAUAUAAAUAAUUUUCCUGAUGCAUUACUCUAGACAAAAGAUAAAACCACAGCUUUCUGCAAACUAGUAAUAAUGUCAUGACCAGCCACAUGUUAUUUAAGGUAAAAAGAAAAAACCCAAGAAACUGACCAACAUGCUUUGUACAAAAUAUAUACUCAAUUUC